rnacentral:tRNA from 3 species
GCGAGAGUGGCGAAAUUGGCAAACGCACUGGACUUAGGAUCCAGCUCCCGUUAGAGGAUUGGGGGUUCAAGUCCCCCCUCUCGCACCA